GAGUCAUGAAGAAACUUCUUCCUGUAACGGUAACACGAGAGCGCAGAGAUGCACUUUAUUUGGCUUAGUUACUGGCACGGCGCUGCCAAAAUAAAAGCAGCCAACCACACAAGCCGGUGUCGAAGCACUUCUGACCUUCGCCCAGCAAAGGUUCGCGGGUGAACCUCUGCAGCAUCCUCGCUGGCUCGGCAGGAGGCUGCUCCAUGCCACGGAGCUCUCCUACCUCCAUCCUCCUGGCCCAGAGCUGGUAAUUAUUUCUUUCUGCAGAGAUUCCCUCUACGGCUGCUGAAAACAGCUCUGUGCUGAUCGGGAUUUGCUUACUGAUGCCUUUAUCAGGCUUUCAGUACCUUCAGCCCUUCCUAGGGUCUGAUUGUCUCACCUGCAUUCCCCCCUCCUCGGUUAUAGCCAGGCACAAAUUACGUGCACUGCCUGGGAUGCAACAGGUAACGGCUGCCUGGAGGAAUUCACCUCUUGCUACGGGAGCGCCCAGACAUGAAAUUGCAGCAGAUUACAGAAAAAGAGUGCUGACCCAAGAAUCCCAUGUGGUUGAGUCAGGCUGCUCCAGUAGGGAUGGGGAGUAAUUGAUGUACCGGAGAUGAUGACCUUUGCUGGGCUGAGACUGCAUCUCUCUGUUAUUCCUUCUUUCUUUUUUUUUUUUUUCUUGAAGUCCUAUCUGCAUGCGGUUUGUUUUCAUCCAGCCCGAGAUGGAUGGUGCACGGAUUUAAUGAGGUCGUGUUUUCCCACCAGUUCCAUUUGUAGCCAUUUAAUGUUCAGCUCUGAGUAGUAGAUUGAGUUAAAGGCUAUUUAAAAGUCUAUGAUGCAGACAA